GUUUUAGGGUAAGUGUGUCCCAUGUAACAUUUGGGACACACUUAUCCUAAAU
rnacentral:pre_miRNA from 1 species